rnacentral:rRNA from 1 species
UCGCCCUUAUUAGAUACCCUGGUAGUCCACGCAGUAAACGAUGAAUGCUAAUUGUCCGUUGCGAAUGAGCGAUGGGUGAUACAGCGAAAGCGUUAAGCAUUCCACCUGGGGAGUACGCCGGCAACGGUGAAACUCAAAGGAAUUGACGGGGGCCCGCACAAGCGGAGGAACAUGUGGUUUAAUUCGAUGAUACGCGAGGAACCUUACCCGGGCUCAAACGCCGUCUGACGUAGGCUGAAAGGCUUAUUUCUUCGGACAGACGGCGAGGUGCUGCAUGGUUGUCGUCAGCUCGUGCCGUGAGGUGUCGGCUUAAGUGCCAUAACGAGCGCAACCCCUGUCGACAGUUGCUAACAGGUUAGGCUGAGGACUCUGUCGAGACUGCCGGCGCAAGCUGUGAGGAAGGCGGGGAUGACGUCAAAUCAGCACGGCCCUUACGUCCGGGGCGACACACGUGUUACAAUGGCAGGUACAGCGGGAAGCCACCCGGCGACGGGGCGCGGAACCCGAAAACCUGUCUCAGUUCGGAUUGGAGUCUGCAACCCGACUCCAUGAAGCUGGAUUCGCUAGUAAUCGCGCAUCAGCCACGGCGCGGUGAAUACGUUCCCGGGCCUUGCACACACCGCCCGUCAAGCCAUGGAAGCCGGGAGUGCCUGAAGUGCGUGACCGCAAGGAGCGUCCUAAGGCAAUACCGGUGACUGGGCUAAGUCGUAACAAGGUAAC